rnacentral:rRNA from 1 species
CCCCUUAGUGGUGAAGUUAACGCAUUAAGCACUCCGCCUGGGGAGUACGGCCGCAAGGUUGAAACUCAAAAGAAUUGACGGGGGCCCGCACAAGCGGUGGAGCAUGUGGUUUAAUUCGAAGCAACGCGAAGAACCUUACCAGGUCUUGACAUCCUCUGACAAUCGUAGAGAUAGGAUGUUCCCUUCGGGGACAGAGUGACAGGUGGUGCAUGGUUGUCGUCAGCUCGUGUUGUGAGAUGUUGGGUUAAGUCCCGCAACGAGCGCAACCCUUGAUCUUAGUUGCCAGCAUUUAGUUGGGCACUCUAAGGUGAGACCCGGUGACAAACGGAGGAAGGUGGGGAUGACGUCAAAUCAUCAUGCCCCUUAUGACCUGGGGUACACACGUGCUACAAUGGAUGGAACAAAGGGCAGCGAAGCCGCGAGGUCAAGCAAAUCCCAUAAAACCAUUAUCACUUCGGAUAUCAGGGUGCAAAUCUCGAGCAUGAAACGUGAAUAGCUAGUAAUAUCGGAUCAGCAAGCCGCGGUGAAUACGUUCCCGGGCCCUGUACACACCGCCCGUCACACCCCGAGAGUUGGUAACACCCCGAGGUGGGUGAGGUAACCUCAGGAGCCAGCUGCACGCAACGUG